rnacentral:lncRNA from 1 species
AUGGAAGUUCCCAGUCAAGGGGUCAAAUCAGAGCUGCAGCUUCAGCCCAUUCCACAGCCACAGCAACAUGGAACCUGAGUCACAUCUGUGACCUACACCACAGCCUGUGGCAAUGCCAGAUCCUUAAUCCACUGAGCGAUGCCAGGAAUUGAACCCUCAUCCGCAUGGAUACUAGUCGACUUCUCUACCUGCUGAGCCACAAUGGGACCUCCAAUUCUUUAAUCAAUUACAAAAAAAAAAAAAAAAUAAGACUCUGGGACAAUUCCCCAGCCUGCUGAUGAAUGCUGUAAUACCUAGGGUACCCAACAGAAGACACCAUUUCUGGCAAACAGCACUUAAGUACCACAACUGCUAUGAAUGCCAUAUGUCACUGUUCAUGAUAUUUAAUAAUCAACAUAGGAGUUCCUGUCAUGGCACAGUGGUUAACGAGUCCGACUAGGAACCAUGAGGUUGGGGGUUCGGUCCCUGCCCUUGCUCAGUGGGUUGACGAUCCGGCGUUGCCGUGAGCUGUGGUGUAGGUUGCAGACACGGCUCGUAACGUCCCGCGUUGCUGUGGCUCUGGCGUAGGCCAGAGACUACAGCUCCGAUUCAACCCCUAGCCUGGGAACCUCCAUAUAUACAAGUCGGGUUCAUUACCGCUGAGCCCCCAAGGGGAACUCCCAUGUUAUUAAUUUUAACUGAGGUGAUCAUUUGGCCCAACUAUUAUCAAUUUGGACAUAAACGCAUGCACAACCUUUGCCCAAAGCAAGGUUAGCCAUAUAUAUUAUGGUAUCAACAACAGGGGACCUGCUGUUGCCAAUUUUCCUCUGGAUGGACACAGAGCAUCAGGUAGGCUUUGAGGACAGCAAGGAGCACGUAAGUUAGGGUCCAGUCACCAGCCAGCAAACGACUAGCAGAGCAGGCCUGUCAUCCAACCAGGCCCCCAAGGCCACAUGCUGUCAUUUCCAUGCUCCCUGUUUAAACUAUCAAAGGGGAAAACAGGACUGAUACUCAAGGACACUGAUACAUUAGGAAAAAUUAUUAUCUAUAAACUGCUGAUACCUGAGAUGACAGCCAAAAACAGAACCAAAAGGAUGGAUUUCAACACCCAUGUGCUUGGGAAAACCCCUGUCAUACCUGGUGACCAAGAAGUGGCUGGGAAAGCUACCUUGGAAAACCAAACAUAGUCGGCUCUAAAAGCAAUAUUAUAACCAAAGAAUCCCAGACAUUCAUGAGAAUCUUCUGGGUUAUCAAGUGGAAGGGCAUCUUGUCUUCACUUAAAAUUUAUUUUAAUACAUUAAAAUGACAAAAGUAUGGUUUGGAGGAUACAAAUUGUAUUUCUUAGACUACUCCUAUAGUACUUUUUGUCUUAUUCAAGUA